rfam:Cavia porcellus supercont2_38 genomic scaffold, whole genome shotgun sequence.
CAAAAGGCUCUUCUAAGAGCCACCUACUAACACAGUAAAAUAGCUG